CACAUCAACAGGAAAGGUAACUAAGACAGUGUGUGGAGAAUCACUGUGAGCUCUACUUUAACACUGGACCGGGGGAUAGCAACUUUCUCAAACUUAAAAAGACCUAAGGAGGCUGGCUCACUUCCAGUGCAGGGAGGAAAGAUUUCAGAAAAUCAGGGUUUGAGGAGAGCUUCAAGAUAACCUAAGUCUUGUCGUUUCCAAACUUCGCUAAAUAGUAACUUCUGGGGAGGUGUUCCCAAAUGUUCAUGUCCCAUAUUUAAGGAAGUAGCUGAGAACCAGGAAGAGUAAGAAGGCAAGAAAGUCCAGGUGUGAGAAACAGCAGGAUCACUGCAGUAGGUGCAGAGUGGGGAGCUACAGAGAAGGGGCGGCAAGGUUUCGAGAACCCAGAAUGGACCAACCAUGGCUACGAUUCCCUCCCAUUAUUUCAUCACCACUGAGAAACAGCAUAUCCAGAGUUAUGUGAAUGGAACCCUAAGAGAUGUCAAGGCAAAAGGAGAAAGCUGGGCUCCAGAGAAAACUCAUUAAGAACUACCCUCAAAAUCUGAGAAGAAAAUCCCCAAACAAAGACUGUAUGUAUGGAUGUUCAGAACUGCCUGCAGCCCAGCAAGGGUGUGGAGAUGGAGUGGCCUGGUAAUGAACCACAAGUUCGCAUUAGAUCAAGGAGAAGAGCAUCACUCUUCUAGCCUCAGAAAGACUCUAUCCUAUGGAGGUUAAUUUAGGUUACAUUACCAUAGAUGGAGUCUCAGUCCAAACCCAGGAUGUCCUCAAAACUCACGAUCCUCUUGCCUCAACCUCCUGUAGCCUGGGAUUAUAGACACGGACCUUCGCACAUUGAUUGACUACACUCAGUCUUAAUUCUCUUGUUCCUGAAUGAGAUGAGACAAUGGAGUUCUGGGAAGACCGAAUGUCCCCAUUCACCAUCAGAGCUGGGUCUCCAUUCAGGUUCCUGACUCCCUGUGAGACACAUGUCCUGCUCUCCCCUUCAGUUGUUUAUGGGCACUGACACAGGCACCUCCCACACAGAACACUCACUUCCUCCCAUCCUCCUUUAGACUCAUGUGUCACACAUGAGCAUGGGUCACCCCAGGAGGGCACACCAUCAUUUUCCCCCUUCUUUCUUUCUGUCCACUUUCUACACAGAAAUGGGCUUGUAUGUACACGGGUGUAGUGUUGAGCAUACAUGACUAAUCGCCAGGAUUCCUCCAUCGCCUGAACACCACCUCUGUAUUAUCUGGAACCCACAUUUGGACACACUAGAAAAACCGGUGCAGUCUCAGAAGCAACAGUGUUGCUGACAUUUAACACAAAUAUGUCAGUGGCCUGGGGAUUUCUCUUUCCAAAACUUUGUCUUCUUAGCCUCUUGCUCUGUGUGUGUGUGUGUGUGUGUGUGUGUGUGUGUGUGUGUGUGUGUGUGUGUGUUUUCAAGGGGUUGGAUUUGGGAGGCCUUGCUCACCUCUGUCAGAAGAGCUGAAAAUUAAAAGACAUGCUGGAUUUCAGCAUGUUUCCCCUAAGUGUUUUGGGAACCCGGACAGCAAGUGACUGUUCAGAAGAAGCAAGUACAAUCCAGGGUCUGCUUUGAUGAUGGCACAGCAAUGCUGACAGACAGAGCCACUCUGAGGAGGUGCCUGCCUCAUUUGACCCCAGUGAUUCCUUUCUAUUGAAGACAAAGCUCAGCACUGCACUAUGAACCUACCAUGUCUGAUAAUGUCCAGACUACUGCCCUCUCCAGCCAAAAUGUUCUUCACAAAACUUCAGUUUUGGUUUACACAACAGUGCACCGAAAACUUGAAAUUUGGACAAGAAAAAAAAAUCACUGAUAUUUAAUUGCCAGGGGGACUCUUCUCCAACAGACAGCAGACAAAGGAUGCUGCGUGCUUCUUGAAAUGUCCAAUUCUCAGAACAUAACUCCCAAAUAGCAUUCAACUUUUUAAAAAAGAUUAAUUUCUAAUCAUAUGUUUUGUUUUAUACCAACUUAUUUCAUCUCACUUUAAAGUGGUCUCCAACUCUACUCCAUUACAUUUCCUCGUCUGAUCUACAUCCUUUUAAUUUGGCCAAACAUUUUUUUUUUUUUUUUUUUAAGGACAGAUGAUGAAGUGCCCAGAGCCAAAAAACAAAGUGCUCUCUAUACUUGACGUGGAGAUGCUGGAGUGGAACACUUCCCCUCACUGUUCAUUCUCUCAUGUGUGCCUUCAGAAACUGCUUAGGGAAAGCAAAUAGCCCUUAGCCUCAGAGUAAAUUGUUUCUCUUGAGAAUCAAACAUAGGAAUUUACCAAGUCUCACACGAAUAUUGCAACACUAACCACAACCUCCUUAAAGAGUGCAAGCCAACAACCGUGGUUUCUACAUUAAAGAUGAGAUCUGACAUAUUUCAAGGAUGACCUGAAAGCUAGACUACCUUCACCACAAAGCCACGGAAAAUGCUGACAACCCAAAGUUAUGACUCCCUUAGCAUGUCUAAUGCACAGCAGCAGCCUGGGCCUCGCCAAUGUGAGCCCCUUGCCCUUCAGCAAAAAGUCUUGAAAAGGGAUUAGGAGCUUGACAUGCACCCCGGAAGCCGAACUGCCGCUUGGCCUGAUACCAGCCUGCCCUUGUUGAUGGUCUCUUCUCUGAGUGCUGAGUGUCUCUGACACUAAUUUUACACACCAAGGAAAGAAAGUGUAAUGUGGGGGUGAGUCCAAUUGAGGGGAGCCAAAAUCUGGAAGCACAAGCAUGUAAUUGUCUGAGUUUUAGACAAUUAUCAUGAUAGGAUGCUGCUCAUGACUGGAGAACAUGUCUGCACUUAGGAAACUACAGGACUGGCCCUUCAUCUUGCUUUCAUCGGUAUCUUAAUUUUGUUGGCAGAUUCGGGCAGGAAGCAGGACUAAGCGCUGGCACCUGUCUCUGGGUUAUUAGAACUCUCCAGAAUUGCAGCAAGAGCGAAAGAAAAUGGCGCAUUCCUCGUUGAGGCAUUCUUACUUAUGUCCAUCACUGCGAAGUUCUUCUCAGCUAUUUUGUAAAGCCUAUUUUUCCCCCCUUAGACGCUAUUUCCAAGCCCAGUUCCUGCAUUUAAUUACUGGGAACUUUUAGAAUAUUUUACCAUCACAUGUAUCCCAGUCUUCUCCUCUGAAGGACAAUGCCCCCUUCCACUUCCUUCUAGAAGGGAGGUACAUCCAAGGAACUGGCACAGUGAACUAAGAACCUUCCCUUCAGGGAUUCAAACAGAUGGACAGAGGAAGUGACAGACUCUGGUGUCUACUGAGAGAAGCCGGGGUCAGGAAGAGGGGCUAGGCUCAAAGGAGGAACUCUAGGCUCUCUUCUGACUUCUGGUUGGAGUGUCUGUAUGCAGAACGUAGUCCCUUUCUCCUUCUGUCCCUUGUCUAUGAAAGCCUCUAGGAUCUGAGCAAAGAAACUGAAAUAACCUUCCUAGCUAUUUAUGCAACUGGCCUAACCUAGUUACAAUGUUGAAAGAAAGCAACUCUCUUCCUAACGUCCGUGAGCCCGUUUAGGAGCAGAGUUGGCAGGAGAGGCAAGCGGAUGGAACAGGAUCAUGGUAUAUAUGAUGGCAAGGUGGGGG
rnacentral:lncRNA from 1 species